UGGCGGCAGGCUUAACACAUGCAAGUCGAACGCACUCUUCGGAGUGAGUGGCAGACGGGUGAGUAACGCGUGGGAAUCUACCCAUCUCUACGGGAUAGCUCCGGGAAACUGGAAUUAAUACCGUAUACGUCCUGAGGGAGAAAGAUUUAUCGGGGAUGGAUGAGCCCGCGUUGGAUUAGCUAGUUGGUGGGGUAAUGGCCUACCAAGGCGACGAUCCAUAGCUGGUCUAAGAGGAUGAUCAGCCACAUUGGGACUGAGACACGGCCCAAACUCCUACGGGAGGCAGCAGUGGGGAAUAUUGGACAAUGGGCGCAAGCCUGAUCCAGCCAUGCCGCGUGAGUGAUGAAGGCCCUAGGGUUGUAAAGCUCUUUCAGUGGGGACGAUAAUGACGGUACCCACAGAAGAAGCCCCGGCUAACUUCGUGCCAGCAGCCACGGUAAUACGAAGGGGGCUAGCGUUGUUCGGAAUUACUGGGCGUAAAGCGUACGUAGGCGGACAUUUAAGUCAGGGGUGAAAUCCCGGGGCUCAACCCCGGAACUGCCUUUGAUACUGGAUGUCUUGAGUCCGGAAGAGGUGAGUGGAAUUGCGAGUGUAGAGGUGAAAUUCGUAGAUAUUCGCAGGAACACCAGUGGCGAAGGCGGCUCACUGGUCCGGUACUGACGCUGAGGUACGAAAGCGUGGGGAGCAAACAGGAUUAGAUACCCUGGUAGUCCACGCCGUAAACGAUGGAAGCUAGCCGUCGGAGGAUUUAUCCUUCGGUGGCGCAGCUAAC
rnacentral:rRNA from 1 species